CAGUCCUGUGCACACUUACGUGGGAGAAAGCGUCACUGCAGACCAAAAGCAGACAGAGAGCGACCAAAGCAGAAAUCAAGCUCAGGACUGCUCAGCUUUCAUUGCCAAUCCUCGGAGAUGACUGGAAAUCAAGAGGCUCCACCUACCUCCCCCAAAGUUCCCUGGACAGCAGAGAAAAGAAGAGUAAUUUAAAACAGAUCCUGGUGCUGUAAUGCUGAAAACAUCUCUUUGAGGCAUAUGAGGAGGAUAUGUCAUGUGGUGUGUUUCUUCAGGUCAGAAAUUAUUGUUUGUAUUAACUUUGCUUUGGAGAAAUCCUUGAUAUUUGUAGAUGUUCAUGCACUCUUAAAUUAUGUGAUGUGGGACUAACGGAGUGACAACAAAAGUGGCUUUUGUGAGCCCUUAUGGUGGCUAAGAGACUUAUAUUACCAGGCUGGAAGGACAAACACCCACCGGUAGUCAAAAAAUCUCACUGCCAUUUCUACAUUCAAAUUCAUGGCCUAUAAUCAUCAACCUCGUUUAGAUACCUAUUCAGAUAUAUGGACUGCUUUUUUAAUCAAUAUAUUUAAAUUAGAAUUGAUGGACUAUUCCUACUGUUAAUGUCAGCUGACAAUAUUUUAACUCUCUCCUUGAUUACUGGUCAACACUAAUUUUAUU